rnacentral:rRNA from 1 species
GGCUAACUACGUGCCAGCAGCCGCGGUAAUACGUAGGGGGCAAGCGUUAUCCGGAAUUAUUGGGCGUAAAGGGCUCGUAGGCGGUUCGUCGCGUCCGGUGUGAAAGUCCAUCGCUUAACGGUGGAUCCGCGCCGGGUACGGGCGGGCUUGAGUGCGGUAGGGGAGACUGGAAUUCCCGGUGUAACGGUGGAAUGUGUAGAUAUCGGGAAGAACACCAAUGGCGAAGGCAGGUCUCUGGGCCGUUACUGACGCUGAGGAGCGAAAGCGUGGGGAGCGAACAGGAUUAGAUACCCUGGUAGUCCACGCCGUAAACGGUGGAUGCUGGAUGUGGGGCCCGUUCCACGGGUUCCGUGUCGGAGCUAACGCGUUAAGCAUCCCGCCUGGGGAGUACGGCCGCAAGGCUAAAACUCAAAGAAAUUGACGGGGGCCCGCACAAGCGGCGGAGCAUGCGGAUUAAUUCGAUGCAACGCGAAGAACCUUACCUGGGCUUGACAUGUUCCCGACGGUCGUAGAGAUACGGCUUCCCUUCGGGGCGGGUUCACAGGUGGUGCAUGGUCGUCGUCAGCUCGUGUCGUGAGAUGUUGGGUUAAGUCCCGCAACGAGCGCAACCCUCGCCCCGUGUUGCCAGCGGAUUAUGCCGGGAACUCACGGGGGACCGCCGGGGUUAACUCGGAGGAAGGUGGGGAUGACGUCAGAUCAUCAUGCCCCUUACGUCCAGGGCUUCACGCAUGCUACAAUGGCCGGUACAACGGGAUGCGACGCGGCGACGCGGAGCGGAUCCCUGAAAACCGGUCUCAGUUCGGAUCGCAGUCUGCAACUCGACUGCGUGAAGGCGGAGUCGCUAGUAAUCGCGAAUCAGCAACGUCGCGGUGAAUGCGUUCCCGGGCCUUGUACACACCGCCCGUCAAGUCAUGAAAGUGGGCAGCACCCGAAGCCGGUGGCCUAACCCCUUGUGGGAUGGAGCCGUCUAAGGUGAGGCUCGUGAUUGGGACUAAGUCGUAACAAGGUAGCCGUACCGGAAGGUGCGGCUG